GCGGUAAGGAAAAACUCCCAAAAAAAACCGGAUUCCGGAAAAAACGAAGAAACCUCAGGGGUGACCACAUGAAGGAGGGAUCCUCCCCCAGGACGGACACUAAAACCUACCAUGACUCAAUCCAUAUGACUAAUGCAGGUAGGCAAGUUGUGAAACACAGCAACAGAACUACAGCUGAAAGCGGUUGUCAUUCAGACACAGCUCCUGCAGUAGAUAGGACUGGGAGUCCUCCGCAUGAUCUCAUAAACUAAGGUGGAUAAAGGUGAAGAGGAUUUCAUGUAAUCCAUGGACACC